GUUGUGUUUAUCUGCUUUCUCUAACGGUUUUUAGGUUUACAAUGCAGACACAUACACUUGAUGCGGGAUGCUAUUUAUGUAAAACGCAACAACAUGACAGCUUUGCAGACCAACACACACACACACACACACACACACACAAAUAAAAAUACAGAUGAAUCGGAACGGAUGCUGUUGCGGAUCUGUUAUAAACAAUAGAGAGGGUCAUUUAGUGUCACUGCACACGUGUAUUAAUGUUUUAUUAUCAUGUAGCGUGAAAUCCUCGACACAUUUGAUGCUCUUUAUUUGACUGAAAUAAUGUUUUGUGUGAUUUCAUAAACUCGGCGGCAUCUGCUAGGUAGCGUUUUUGUGUCAUUUCUCUUCGAAAUGAACGCAGAUGUGUUUAUCAUUUAUUAACUUUAAUGAAAAGCUUCAGUCCUGUGUUACUGUGUGUUGCUGAGAGGUGUGCUGCUAUUUAAAGUGACCUUACACUGCUGCACGAUGAAUCGGGUGAAAAGUCACUCUCAGGAAACAAUGAACAAAAGAGGGAACUGAGACAUAUCUACAGACCAGAAUAUAACAGAGACUUUAUCAUAUCAGUCAUGUGGGCUCUUUUGACCAGUAAACAUCCACCCACUCAGAGCACACUAGCUGUACUAACAUUACCAGGACACUGCACUAACCACGUAUUUGAUAUUGAUUUUUGCUACUAAAAUUAAAAAGACGAGUAUCGUUGGAUAACUCCAUCACUCAUGUUGUGUUCCCUGAUCCUCAGGUGGUGUUACACAGCUGGACCUGGAGCAGAUAUCUUGAGCAGUCAACAUUUGUCUGAUCUUUACAAUUAUCAUAGGAAACUUAAGAUGCAGAAGAUCCCGACUGCAGCUACAAUCAACACAAGAUCCAGCAGCAGAAACAGAGAUCAACACUACUAUCAGAGAAACUGAAGGAACUGAAGUAGAAUAAAAGAGAGACCGUGAUCAAUGAGAGAGUCACAUGACUCACAUUCACCACUGAACACACCAAUGAACAAUUCUGCUGUGAUGAAGAUGAUGAUGAUGAUGAAGAACAUUUUGAAGAGUUACUGCUGAUGACAGGAACAGGAAGACGAGCUGAAAACAUGAGAGAAUAAGAGGAAUAUGAACACAGCUGUCUCAUUUUCAACAUUGUGAAAUGUAGUGAAUCAGUUAAUUUUGUGUUGAGUGAGUGUUUAGUGUGUUAACGGUCACUGAAUGUUUCUGUCAUCUCAAAAUAUAAAAUAAAUAAAUAUUUGACUAUGU